UAGAUAUGGGAAAAGCUCCGGCGGCAAAGGAUGGGCCCGCGGCCUGUUAGCUAGUUGGUGGGGUAGUGGCCUACCCAAGGCAAUGAUGGGUAGCCGGGUUGAGAGACCGACCGGCCAGAUUGGGACUGAGACACGGCCCAGACUCCUACGGGAGGCAGCAGUGGGGAAUCUUGCACAAUGGGCGAAAGCCUGAUGCAGCGACGCCGCGUGCGGGAUGAAGGCCUUCGGGUUGUAAACCGCUUUCAGCAGGGACGAGGCCGCAAGGUGACGGUACCUGCAGAAGAAGCCCCGGCUAACUACGUGCCAGCAGCCGCGGUAAU
rnacentral:rRNA from 1 species